ACGCACCUUUCGGGGUGAGUGGCAGACGGGUGAGUAACGCGUGGGAACGUACCCUUUUCUACGGAAUAACUCAGGGAAACUUGAGCUAAUACCGUAUACGCCCUUUUGGGGAAAGAUUUAUCGGAGAAGGAUCGGCCCGCGUUGGAUUAGCUAGUUGGUGGGGUAAAGGCCUACCAAGGCGACGAUCCAUAGCUGGUCUGAGAGGAUGAUCAGCCACAUUGGGACUGAGACACGGCCCAAACUCCUACGGGAGGCAGCAGUGGGGAAUAUUGGACAAUGGGCGCAAGCCUGAUCCAGCCAUGCCGCGUGAGUGAUGAAGGCCCUAGGGUUGUAAAGCUCUUUCACCGGUGAAGAUAAUGACGGUAACCGGAGAAGAAGCCCCGGCUAACUUCGUGCCAGCAGCCGCGGUAAUACGAAGGGGGCUAGCGUUGUUCGGAAUUACUGGGCGUAAAGCGCACGUAGGCGGACAUUUAAGUCAGGGGUGAAAUCCCGGGGCUCAACCCCGGAACUGCCUUUGAUACUGGGUGUCUGGAGUAUGGAAGAGGUAAGUGGAAUUCCGAGUGUAGAGGUGAAAUUCGUAGAUAUUCGGAGGAACACCAGUGGCGAAGGCGGCUUACUGGUCCAUUACUG
rnacentral:rRNA from 1 species